CUGCAGCCUGACCUGCCCGCUCGCGUGGGGUGAGCCCGGGCUGCCUCUAUUUUGCUCUAUGUUUAUUUCGUUUUGUCACUAUCUUAAAGAGAAAGACAGCAGGCUUUCUCCCAAACAGUUUUUCCCUUCAGGGUAGGGGAUGUCAGCCAGAGGGUGCAGAAGCACAAAGACUCAGAGGACAAGAGAAAGCACAACAAAAACAGAACCCUGCUUUCGCGAGUAGUGGUAGUAAUCUGGCCGUCACGUGGAGAGGGGAAAAGUCAAAUACAAUUGGAAGAGCCAGAUGCCCAGGCAAAUGUCUCAAAGGAAGACCGUCACGAGAGUCACCUGGUCUAACUUGAGAGAAACCAAACUUAAGAGCUGCGACUGAAUGGAAUUCAGAGUUUUAUAUUUUUCACCAUACUCGAGGCUGGCACACCCAGCCCUCACUUCCUCCCUGCCAGCCACUCUGUGACCUCACUUUACACCCAGAGCCCUGAAGCCUAAUUGCUGAUAACCCACCACGAGGCCCAGCACGGCACCCCCGCCCCCCACCCCGGGUACCCUGGGAGGGAGAGAUAAAAACCCCCACUGGGGAAGAGCAGCCCUGCUCGAGAUGCCGCUCUGGCUUCUCCUAAAGAACCAUGCACGCCAAGUUGGCAGGAAAACCCCACCUGCAGGGGCAAGAUAACACUCUCCUGGAUGUGAGGACGAGCAGGGUGAUCUGGUCCUGGCUAAAUUAUGUUGCACGAAUCCUGCAGCAUGUCCUCUGAGGACGCUGCUCCUGGUAAGUGGACUUCUAAUAGCGCAUCUAAGAAAAACAUCCAGCCUUCAGGACACGAACGCAAUCUCCACAAAGGAUUUUAUUUGUCCCAUUGCUGAGGAAUCCCAAGCACCUGGAGAAGCGUCUGGCUCAAGUGAGUGCUCAAUGAAGAGUUGCUGAGUCCAUGAAUGAAUGCACCUGCCACUGCAUUUUUGGGGUGGGUUCUGCUGUUGCUGUCCUAUAUUCUUCAAGUCUUAUAAAAAUUGCUGUAAAUCACAUUCAACAUUGAUGAGACAUGAGUUUACCGUUAAAAAAAUGUCAG